GGAUUUGAAGAAGCUUUGAAGACGUUUCCUGAUGCCGCCGGAGAAGACGAGCAGCUUUGUACCUUUGCGGUUUCCCAGAGACUAUGGGUUGAGGAGGAAUUGGAAGUUUGUCGGCUUAGACCUGGUGUCAUUCCAUCAGUGUUAAACUUCCCGGCUCAUCUUGGAAGAGUACGUGCCAGAAAGACCACGACCAAGCAGCCUUGAGAUCUUAGGCAGCGUCUCCCUGAGGUCCCUCUCUAUCUCCCCACACAUCCACCAACCACUGGAACACAUCUCCAAAGUUCUGCUGGGCCAGCUCAGCUUCCCCUCAGAAGAAGUGCUGCCACCUGCCAGAUGAAGGAGCCUUUUGAGAGGCAGCUGGCAUCGUGAUUGGACUGUACUUUGGUCUGUUCCAAUCCAGCUUCAGCUCCAGAGACGGCAGGCGGGACGAGUCAACGGAGGCCGGAUGGACGAAGGCAUGCAGCUGAGUACAAUCCAGAAAACAACAGAGGAGGAGUGCAGCAGCCCAGAGCCAGAACAACCAGAGUAGCAUCGUAUGUCUCUUAGAAAACAUCAUAGUAUAGCCUUUGGGAUGAAAGAACACCAUCAUAUACAUCGUAUAUUGUACAAAUAACAAGUCAAAGGAAAGAGACAUACAUUGUAGAAUUGUAGUAAUUGUGGGCUGACUGAUUUACUGAUUAGCAGUAUUUUAUUUUUUACUGAUUUAUGGUAAUAAAUACAUUUAAAAAUGGUGCUACUUUGGCUCUGAACCUUAAUCUACCUGUGGUCGCUCUGUCUUCUGGAGUGAUUUGAUUAGUUAUACGUCACAAAUAAAACUCCUCCAACUUAACAUCUGUAAACAAAACAAAAGCGUAUCAACAAAGUUUUCUGUUAGAGUUUGUGUUCUUCUAAGUUGAACUCCAAGAUUUUAAAUACUUUCAUUUACUGCAAAUGAAUAUCUACUUCAAAUGUCUCACUAAUAAUCAUUAUCAGCCUUAAAAACCCACAAAACACCCCUCUAUACUGGACCACACUUAGUACAGUCCGGUUCCCCCUUCUAUAAAUCUGCUUGGAAUCGUCCACUUCCUGUUUGUCAAAGUGGCCUUCUACCUGGACAGGUUUUGUUGGAGCUCAUGCAACAAACAUUUUGGGUAACUGCACUUUAAUAUGGAUGGAUGACACUGAAUUAGAGUCUGUUUUAAUGAGACUGAGUUAAGAUGUGUAGCUCUGUCAUUAAAUAGGAAAUUAUUUCUCAGAAUUCACAGAGAAUAGUCUGAAAUGUUUGCUAGCUUAGCGUCCCACAUGUUCUUUGGCUCAGCUAAAGCUAACUCUCUCCAACUUGUGGAUCUCUUGAGUUGCUUGUUGUUAAAAUAUCUUGCUAGAGGUGCUGAAGCUCAGAAAGUCUGAGAUGUUUGUUCAAAAUAAGCUCAUUCUCAAGUCUGAUCUGAACUGUCCUCUUUUGUUUGAACUUUCCCUAAACUUAGGAGUUAAUGACAGAGCAGCACAUUCAGACUGAGUCUCAUUUAUGUAGAGAUUAAACUUCAGUGUCAUUCAUUGAUGUUAAAGUGCAGUUUUUCAAAUGUUUGUUGCACAUGCUCCUGACCAAACCAGUUCAGGUGGAAGACGAUGUGAAGAGAAAGCUCCAGAGGAUGAAUAUCACACAUUUACGUUGGAAAUAAAUGUCCUUUCAUUAGACAUUGUCAUGCAAA